rnacentral:rRNA from 1 species
GACAGAGGGUGCAAACGUUGUUCGGAAUUACUGGGCGUAAAGCGCGUGUAGGCGGUCUCGCAGGUCGGAUGUGAAAGCCCUUGGCUCAACCAAGGAAGUGCAUUCGAAACCUCGAGACUUGAGUCCCGGAGAGGAAGGUGGAAUUCUCGGUGUAGAGGUGAAAUUCGUAGAUAUCGAGAGGAACACCGGCGGCGAAGGCGGCCUUCUGGACGGAGACUGACGCUGAGACGCGAAAGCGUGGGGAGCAAACAGG